rnacentral:misc_RNA from 1 species
AUUUAUCUGAUCACGUUGGAGUUCUUGUGACAUAAUUAAUUCUUACACAUGAUCAUCAAAGGCUUGCGUGCCUAGGUUUCAGGCUGAACCAUGCUUGAGCUCUCAUGCCUGUAGUGGUCCUAAGCUAGGCUUCAUCUCUAAGGCAUGCACCUAGUUGCCUGAGGGUUGCUUUCUUUCUGCCUUUUCUUAGUCUUUAUUUGUUGGUUUUACUUGUAUUGUUGAAUGUUUUCUGGUUUUUACUUUAUGCCUUUAUGAUUUGAUUUUAAACAUUUGAUAGUAGUAGUACUAUCUAUGUUAAUGAAACAAGUAGAAUUGCACAGAAUUAACUUUGAUGGGUCAAUGUCACAUUGUGAUUUGAAGUUGUAAUCCCAAGUUAAAGUUGCUUUGCUCCCUUCCACAUUGUGAUUUGAUGUUCUAAUCCCA